AUCCACCUGACGAAUCCCAAAUAGGGUGAAACGUGCAUCCUGGAU
rnacentral:hammerhead_ribozyme from 1 species